AAUGGAGAGUUUGAUCCUGGCUCAGGAUGAACGCUGGCGGCGUGCUUAACACAUGCAAGUCGAACGAGGUUUUCGGACCUAGUGGCGGACGGGUGAGUAACGCGUGAGAAUCUGCCCCGAGGUGGGGGACAACAAUUGGAAACGAUUGCUAAUACCCCAUAUGCCGAGAGGUGAAAGGUUAACUGCCUUGGGAUGAGCUCGCGUCUGAUUAGCUAGAUGGUGGGGUGAAGGCCUACCAUGGCGACGAUCAGUAGCUGUUCUGAGAGGAUGAUCAGCCACACUGGGACUGAGACACGGCCCAGACUCCUACGGGAGGCAGCAGUGGGGAAUUUUCCGCAAUGGGCGAAAGCCUGACGGAGCAACGCCGCGUGAGGGAGGAAGGUCUUUGGAUUGUAAACCUCUUUUCUCAGGGAAGAUAAUGACGGUACCUGAGGAAUCAGCAUCGGCUAACUCCGUGCCAGCAGCCGCGGUAAUACGGGGGAUGCGAGCGUUAUCCGGAAUUAUUGGGCGUAAAGCGUCCGUAGGCUGCUGAAUAAGUCUGUUGUUAAAGCGUGCAGCUCAACUGCAUACGGGCAAUGGAAACUAUUGAGCUAGAGUGUGGUAGGGGUAAAGGGAAUUCCCGGUGUAGCGGUGAAAUGCGUAGAUAUCGGGAAGAACACCAGUGGCGAAAGCGCUUUACUGGGCCACAACUGACGCUGAUGGACGAAAGCUAGGGGAGCGAAAGGGAUUAGAUACCCCUGUAGUCCUAGCCGUAAACGAUGAACACUAGGUGUUGUCUGUAUCGACCCGGACAGUGCCGUAGCUAACGCGUUAAGUGUUCCGCCUGGGGAGUACGCACGCAAGUGUGAAACUCAAAGGAAUUGACGGGGGCCCGCACAAGCGGUGGAGUAUGUGGUUUAAUUCGAUGCAACGCGAAGAACCUUACCAGGACUUGACAUCCCUUGAAUUUUCCAGAAAUGGAUAAGUGCCUUCGGGAGCAAGGAGACAGGUGGUGCAUGGCUGUCGUCAGCUCGUGUCGUGAGAUGUUGGGUUAAGUCCCGCAACGAGCGCAACCCACGUUUUUAGUUGCCAUCAUUAAGUUGGGCACUCUAGAGAGACUGCCGGUGACAAACCGGAGGAAGGUGUGGACGACGUCAAGUCAUCAUGCCCCUUACGUUCUGGGCUACACACGUACUACAAUGCCUUAGACAGAGGGCAGCGAGCCAGCGAUGGUGAGCUAAUCCCAUAAACUGAGGCUCAGUUCAGAUUGCAGGCUGCAACUCGCCUGCAUGAAGUAGGAAUCGCUAGUAAUCGCAGGUCAGCAUACUGCGGUGAAUACGUUCCCGGGCCUUGUACACACCGCCCGUCACACCAUGGAAGUUGGCCACGCCCGAAGUCGUUACUCUAACCUUUCGAGGAGGAGGGCGCCGAAGGCAGGGCUGAUGACUGGGGUGAAGUCGUAACAAGGUAGCCGUACCGGAAGGUGUGGCUGGAUCACCUCCUUUAAGGG
rnacentral:rRNA from 1 species